UGGCCGCCACCGCGCACCACCCACCCUACCGCAACGCAUCUCGUGCUCUCAUCUCUCAGCCUUUCAAGUUUCAGCAGGGUUUCCAUAUCCUGGAGAAAUCAUCCGUGUUAUAUAUUUUGUUGCUUUGUUGUGUAAAUUGUAAACAUAUACUGUAGUUAUAUAUAAUAUCCUGUGAUUAUGAUUAUCUUUUCUAUAGAAUAUCAGUGUUUAGGGUUUUAGACUUUAGUUGCUGUAAUCUCCAAUCCCAAAUGAAAAGCAGCACUAUGUUAUUAGAUGAGAUGAAAUGAGGCAGGUGAAGGCGCUUCAACUGUUUCAUGAUUUGGUGAACAAGAAUGAACCAGCUCGGUUGCUUGGUUUGGAUGUCGGUGAUAAAUACGUUGGUCUUGCUCUUUCCGACUUCCAGAACAAGAUUGCUUCACCCUUCAGUGUUCUGGUCAGGAAGAAAUCAAAUAUUGAUUUAAUGGCUUCCGAUUUCGAGACUCUAAUCUCUAAAUAUUCAUUGAAGGGCUUUGUUGUUGGCCUCCCUUUCAGCUGUCACCGUGUUUCGACUGAUGCUGCACAAGUGAAGGUCUUAAUUGAUGCCCUUUCUAGAACUAAAAAACUUCAAGGUCUGAAAUAUACUUAUUGGAACGAGUCUUUCACGUCAAAGAAUGUUGAAUUGCUCUUAAGGCCUUUGAACUUGAAUAAUGCAGUUCAUUCCAAGACUAUGCUCGACAAAUUUGCUGCUGUAGGGAUACUCCAGGGAUACCUGGAUUAUGUUAACAGAAAAAUGAAGUUAAUGGAAACAGAGUAAGACUCUAAUAAUGGUGUAGGCAUGAGCCAGAUAUCCAUUUAGAAAACUGUUGUUGUAAAGGUGUAAGCACCAAAGUGUAGGGGAAGGAAAAAUUGGCUUCACAGAAGAUCAAACGUGUGACAUCAACUCCAGCAAAUUUUAAUCCUUUUAAAGUUGAACGGCAAGCUUGUUGUGAUUGACUCUAUUCAAUUUAUUUCUUGGAGAUUAGCAGAGAAAUUAUUAACUUUCUUAUGUAUGGUUUCAUAGAAAGAGCAGAGAAAGUAGAAAAAAUACUUGGUCUCAGCAAUUUGACUGCCCCACCAAAUAGACUACAACCAAUUUCUUUGGAAAGCAAGCAUCAAAUUAUUUCAUCAACA